rnacentral:rRNA from 1 species
AUUGAACGCUGGCGGAAUGCUUUACACAUGCAAGUCGAACGGCAGCACGGACUUCGGUCUGGUGGCGAGUGGCGAACGGGUGAGUAAUGUAUCGGAACGUGCCCAGUCGUGGGGGAUAACGUAGUGAAAAUUACGCUAAUACCGCAUACGAUAUAUGGAUGAAAGCGGGGGAUCGCAAGACCUCGCGCGAUUGGAGCGGCCGAUAUCAGAUUAGAUAGUUGGUGGGGUAAAGGCCCACCAAGCCAACGAUCUGUAGCUGGUCUGAGAGGACGGCCAGGCACACGGGAACUGGGACACGGUCCAGACGCCUACGGGAGGCAGCAGUGGGGAAUUUUGGACACUGGGCGAAAGCGUGAUCCAGCCAUUCCGCGUGCAGGAUGAAGGCCCUCGGGUUGUAAACUGCUUUUGUACAGAACGAAAAGGUUUCUACUAAUACUAGGAGCUCAUGACGGUACUGUAAGAAUAAGCACCGGCUAACUACGUGCCAGCAGCCGCGGUAA